rnacentral:lncRNA from 1 species
CGAUUUCCAUAUGCGUUUCUUUAUUCACUGGCAAUUUCCAAUAAAUAUCUGACGUCGUUUAAAGCUAACGAUGCUUUACUUUCUUCCGCAUAUGUUUUCGCAUAUCAACUCCUCAAACCUUAUCAGAUAUCAACUGAGAGAACUCAGAAGACAGAAUCGAUCAUGAUUAAACUCUCUUUCACUCCUAUUACGAAGAUGGGCGUUUGCCGCAACUCAUUGGAUUCUUGUGAGUCCUUCGAUUCUUCCUAACAGUUGGAUUUUCCCCAAAGCUGGCACACAUGGCUUACACCCUAACGACAGAGGUAGAGAACAAGUUUCAAAUCAAACGAAUUCGUUUUCUCAAGACUCCUAAUGGUUGGUCGAUUUCUUCUUUCAAUUUGUUCUCCCAAUCUGUUUUUGAUUUAAUCUGAAACUCGAAUUAAGAAUUGAUUCAUGAUUGAGAUAGAGUAUGUGAAAUAGAUUUUUUUAUGUUAAGUUGUGAUUUGUGAAUCUCACAUGAUUUUUCAUUUACAACUAUAUUAAAAGAAGCCCACCAAGUGUUCGACAAAAUGUCAUCUCCUAUCAUACACUUUUUUUUUCAUUUUUAUAUGAAUCAAAUUGUAUGUUUUCCUCUAUAUUUGAAAGAUGUUGAUAUUGCUGUCAAAACCAGCUCGUAGUGGUCUUAAACACAAUGGAGGAAAAGACUGGGCAAAAGUUUCUGGAGCACAUCGUGUGUGUUCAGUUUUGUUGAAAUUUCAUCGGUCAACAUAACGCCAGAAAGGUUGCAACUUUAACCCUUUUUCAUCUUUCUAAUACUUCAUUCCUGCAAGACAUUAACCGUUUUUUCAUUUUUUAUUCAGGUGCUUUCUGUGGCUAUAUAUGUUGAAUGAAAAUUAUCAGUUUAUAUGUUGAAUUCUAGGUCAGGAGUAUAAAAAGAAAGAGGUAAGAAGGAAGAUGAGGAUGCUAUAGGUGCAGCAAUCUCACCAAGGUCAUCUUAGAAGGCUAAACAAUUUGAUAUCGGCAUUAUGAUAUGAAAGGUAGUUAAUGCCAACAUGGUUUGACUUAUAUUACUUAUAUAUGAUCUUAAAGAAAUUGUAUUCUACUAGUUUUAUUUCUGCUUAUAGCACCUACUGAUCUUUGCUAAUAUUAAAUUGUAAGAUUCUCUUACUUUUCCUACCGGAAGUGGUCUCCCAUGUGUUGACAUAAGUGAUUAAAUUAAUCUACCUGUUUACUAAAACUCUAAAAGCAUUUCCAACAUAGUGCACCUGUUUUUAACUUUUUUUUUCUUUGUAGAUUUUUAAAAUCUGUUAUCUUUUUAUAACGUUAAUUACAUCUUUUUUUAAUCAAAAUAUCUUUAUAAAUAUAUUGUUUCACAAUUAAAGAAAAACCAAAUUAAAGUUAUGUACUUUUAAUGGGCCCCAUUGGCUCGGGUUAGGCUACAAGGUUGUCUUUCUUAUUAUUUGUUUCCAUUGGUUUCUUAAGCAAAGGUCAGUUUGAAGUAUUCAUAACAAAGCCAUGCAUACUUGUUUGAGUUCUCGUUACAAAAGGUAAUAUUUCAUUUUUUUCUUUAAAUACCUUCGUGUAAUAAAUCUUAUCCUUAUAAGUUAUACACAACCUUACUAACUAAUGACUGAAAUACCCUUGUUGCAGGUUCCAUGAUCUGAAAAUCAUUUUUUCAUAAUAAUGGACAUGUUAAGAGCCCAAAAUAUUUGGGAUCAAAGGAUCUUAACAAAAACAAACUUUGUCCAAAGUCAAAUUUGCAAAGCCUUGUUGGAAUCUUUGCCUUCUCUUCAUGAUAAAUUGUUUGUCGCUGCAAUAGAGUCUGUGGUUAGAAUUUCUUAAAAACAAAGUAUUUUUGAAACUUGAAGAAUUGAAAGAAUCGUAGAAACUCUAGAAUUAUAGAUGUGGUUGUUGUAUAGCAUGUACUUAUCCUUUUUUUUUUCAAAAUGACAAAUGUAAUUAUAGUUAUCAUUUUUAAUAAAAAUUAGCAAUUGAGAUUCUUCGCUUUUGGUUGUAUUGUUUGUGAUUUGAACUUCCCUUUCCUUAUGUUCUUAAGGAUUGCCAUCUUUGGGACAAGGGCAAAAUCGUCCAACAACUUUAAAAACCAUCAAACUUAUGCCUAGAUUAACACAACACUAACCAAAAUAUCCUCAUACUUUUUUUUUUUCACAAAAUACCAUUAUACUUCCGUUUUU